rnacentral:rRNA from 1 species
CCUUGAACCGAUACCACCCUGACCUCACCCAGUCCCAUCUGGUUUCGGAAGCUAAGCAGGGUCAGACCUGAUUUAUACUGAAAGAAGACCACGAAGGAACACUGGGCGCUGCAUUGA